rnacentral:rRNA from 1 species
UACGAAGGGGGCUAGCGUUGUUCGGAAUUACUGGGCGUAAAGGGUGCGUAGGCGGUUCGUUAAGUCUGUUGUGAAAUCCCCGGGCUCAACCUGGGAAUGGCAAUGGAUACUGGCGAGCUAGAGUGUGAUAGAGGAUGGUGGAAUUCCCGGUGUAGCGGUGAAAUGCGUAGAGAUCGGGAGGAACAUCAGUGGCGAAGGCGGCCAUCUGGAUCAACACUGACGCUGAAGCACGAAAGCGUGGGGAGCAAACAGG